UGCCAGCCGCCGCGGUAAUACGGAGGGGGUUAGCGUUGUUCGGAAUUACUGGGCGUAAAGCGCACGUAGGCGGACUGGAAAGUAUGGGGUGAAAUCCCGGGGCUCAACCCCGGAACUGCCUCCAAAACUAUCAGUCUAGAGUUCGAGAGAGGUGAGUGGAACUCCGAGUGUAGAGGUGAAAUUCGUAGAUAUUCGGAAGAACACCAGUGGCGAAGGCGGCUCACUGGCUCGAUACUGACGCUGAGGUGCGAGAGUGUGGGGAGCGAACGGGAUUAGAUA
rnacentral:rRNA from 1 species